AGUAGUGGUCAGUGGGCAUCUAGGGACCACUGGGACCCCAAGACACAGCUUCUGGGAAAUGGAGGAGGGAGAAGACAGGCUUCUGAGGGGAGGAGUCCUGGGAAAAGAGGGAUAGGAGGAGGAGGUGGUGGCAAUGUCCUGACCAAGUGGGAGAGUCCCUGGCAAGAGACACUUCUCCCUUCCUUUCACCCUUGCCACCCCAGAAAUCCCCUGCUGAGGGGUCCUCAGAGGGUAGUCCCAGGCACCCAGCUCAGGGCAUCUCUGCUGGAAUGGAGCAAUGAAGGCCCAAGAUCCAGGCCGGGGGCCCUUGGGGCCUCAGUUUCCUCUGCUGUCCAGUGGGGCAGAUCACUUCCUCACUUGCUCCUGCCUCCCCUCCGGGCCAGCAUGAGGGCAGAGGGAAAAGCCAAGAGGAACACAUUUUGGCAGGUUUGUAUCCUGCCCUUCCUGCAGAUCAGUGUCCUGCUAGUCACCUGGGAGUCAGGGGAUGGAGUGAAGGACAAGACCUCCUUCUAUCGCAGUGAAACCACUUGGAGAAAUGUGUGGAAAACAACAAGACCCAGUGACGGUUUCCUCACCUUCUUUCCAAUUUCAGGAGGGAUUUUGUCCCUUCAUCCACCAGCUUCUAGAUUAACCACCCACACCCACACAGACGAGAGUUUCCCUGAAUAUUGGAGUUGACAGGACAUCAGGACAAAGUACAACUAUUGUGCCUUGGCCCAAUCACUACUUUCUUUGUCUGGGGCCACCGCUGGCUCCUGGCUGCCUUUCAUGCUCUUCUCCACCCCCACCCCUUUCUCCCCUUCCCCCUCACCUGGAACACCUUCCCCUUCCUCCUUGGCUCCUUCUGAACUGCCUUCAGAGCCACAGGCUGUGGGGAGUGGCCACUGGGCUCCCAAGGUGAGGCCCUCCAAGUGGGCCCCUCAACUGGGAGCCAGCAUGACCUCCGUGUGGGUCGCUCUCUGCUUCACUGUCCCUUCCCCCAAUCUGCUAGGUGACCCUGGGCCCCUUUGUGCCCUCUCUGGGCCUUUGGAGGAUUCUUUGGGGAGACAGUCUGCUCUGACACCCCCUCCCCUGCAGCAGCCUGGGGAGGGAGGGGAGGAUAAGUGAAAUCAAGUUUGUUCAAGGGGCUAAGCUCAUGGGAGGGAAGGUGCCACAGAGAUACCUGUUGUCUUGUGAUUGUUGUUUUGUGCUUUUUCCCCUUUUUUGAAGGCUCAGAUGACUAGGUGACUUGAGCUUUUAAUUUGGUGACAAUGUGGGCAUUGGCUGAGUCCAUAAGAGUGCAUUGUUGUAAAGGCCGGUGACAACACAUUGGGGCAUGGGAUCCAGAGUUAACCCCUCCAGGUCACAGCCAGGUUACAUCUCCAAAAUGAAAGGGGGAGGUGGGCCAUACUUUCUCACCCUAAAGAAGGUAGCUCAAAAACCCCUAGGCCAGGUUGUAAUCCUAGCUUUAUAUAAAAGGAAUUCUGUGCCCUCACUCCCCUGGAUCCCUGGGCAAAGCCCACAGGGAAAUACAAACAGAUAGUUGUAACACACCUUGCUGGGUACCACCAUGGAGGACAGUUGGCUUAUGGGGUGGGGGUGCCUGGGGUCAUGGAGUGACAGGUGAUGGUUAUCCCUCCUUGGAACCCCUCCAGCCACCUCUUAACUUCAGAUUUGUUUGUUUUUUACUAAGACCUGCUCUUUCAGGUCUGUUGGCUCUUUUAGGGGCUGAAGAAGGCUGAGUUGAGAAAGGAUGCAAGGGACGGGGCCAGAAUGAGCUUUUAGGGUUCAGAACCUCCAUCCUGCCCCCAGGUAGGGAUGAGGGAGGGGUCCCUGCCAAGAUGCCUACAGCUUGUGCUCCUGGGGUGCUAGAGGCACACAAGGAGGAAAGUUAGUGGCUUCCUUUCCAUAUCCCAUUCAUCAGCCUAGAGCAUGGAGCCCAGGUGAGGAGGCCUGCCUGGGAGGGGGCCCUUAGCCAGGAAAUAAACAUUUACUAACUGUACGAAGACCUUGUCCUUGCUGCUGGGGAGCCUGCCAAGUGGUGGAGACAGGACUAGUGCAUGCAUGAUGGAAAGGGAGGGUUGGGGUGGGUGGGAGCCAGCCCUUCUCCUCAUAAGGGCCUUAGGACACCACACUGAUGGAACUGGGGGUACCGGGGAGGUAACCUAGCACCUCCACCAAACCACAGCACCAUGUGCUGAGGAUGUGGCUGACUGGGUAAGCUCCUUGGAGCGUUUUGGUCAAAUUGAGGGAAUUGCUGCAUUCCCAUUCUCAGUCCAUGCCUCCACAGAGGCUAUGCCAGCUGCAGACCAGACCCUGGCAAGAUCCAGGUGGACAAUCAGACUGACUGGUCCCACUCUUCCCACAGGCAUCAGAACCCCAACUUUGUUCCCUGGAGCAGCCUGGAAAUAGCCGGGUCAGAACCCAGUCAGGAAUUUUUCCAAGCUGGUUCCUAUAGGCAAGAAUGGGAUAGGGGCCUUCGGGAGCACUUAGGGAAGAUGUGGAGAGUUGGAGGAAAAGGCCGCUUGGAGGUAAGGGAGGGGACUGGGGAAAGGAGAGGGGAGAAGCUAUAAGCCUGGAGAAGUAGCCAAGGGAUCCUGAGGGAAUGGGGGAGCUGAGAAGAAACCCCCAUUUCUGUUCAGAAGAUGAGCUAUGAGUCUGGGCUUGGGCUGAUAGAAGCCUUGGCCCUUGGCCUGGUGGGAGCUCUGGGCAGCUGGCCUACAGACGUUCCUUAGUGCUGGCGGGUAGGUUUGAAUCAUCACGCAGGCCCUGGCCUCCAUCCGCCCCCACCAGCCCCCUGGCCUCAGUUCCCUGGCAACAUCUGGGGUUGGGGGGGCAGCAGGAACAAGGGCCUCUGUCUGCCCAGUUGCCUCCCCCUUUGGGUUUUGCCAGACUCCACAGUGCAUACGUGGGCUCCAACAGGUCCUCUUCCCUCCCAGUCACUGACUAACCCCGGAACCACACAGCUUCCCGUUCUCAGCUCCACAAACUUGGUGCCAAAUUCUUCCCCGCAGGGAAGCAUCCCUGGACACUUCCCAAAGGACCCCAGUCACUCCAGCCUGUUGGCUGCCGCUCACUUUGAUGUCUGCGGGCCAGAUGAGGGCUCCAGAUGGCACAUUGUCAGAGGGACACACUGUGCCCCCUGUGCCUAGCCCUGGGCUCUCUGUACAUGAAGCAACUCCAGUCCCAAAUAUGUAGCUGUUUGGGAGGUCAGAAAUAGGGGGUUCAGGAGCAAACUCCCCCCACCCCCUCUCCAGAGCCCAUUCCCUCUUUAGCCAGAGCCGGGGUGUGCAGACGGCAGUCACUAGGGGGCGCUCGGCCACCACAGGGAAGCUGGGUGAAUGGAGCGAGCAGCGUCUUCGAGAGUGAGGACGUAUGUCUGUGUGGGUGAGUGUGUGCGUGUGCGUGUAGGGGUUGAGGGCGUUGGAGCAGGGAGAAGGCCAGGGGUCACUCCAGGAUUCCAAUAGAUCUGUGUGUCCCUCUCCCCACCCGUCCCUGUCGGGCUGUCCGCCUUCCCCUGCCCCCUUCAAUAUUCCCAGCAGAGAGGGAAUGGCUCUCAGGCCCUGUCCGCACGUAACCUCACUUUCCUGCUCCCUCCUCGCCAAUGCCCCGCGGGCGCGUGUCUCUGGACAGAGUUUCCGGGGGCGGAUGGGUAAUUUUCAGGCUGUGAACCUUGGUGGGGGUCGAGCUUCCCCUUCAUUGCGGCGGGCUGCGGGCCAGGCUUCGCUGGGCGCCCGCAGAGCCCGGGCCCGAGCCGCGUGUGGAGGGGCUGAGGCUCGCCUGUCCCCGCCCCCCGGGGCGGGCCGGGGGCGGGGUCCCGGCGGGGCGGAGCCAGGCACCCUCUUUUUUUAAAGUCGGCUGGUAGCGGGGAGGAUCGCGGAGGCUUGGGGCAGCCGGGUAGCUCGGAGGUCGUGGCGCUGGGGGCUAGCACCAGCGCUCUGUCGGGAGGCGCAGCGGCUAGGUGGACCGGUCAGCGGACUCACCCGCCAGGGCGCUCCGUGCUGGAAUUUGAUAUUCAUUGAUCCGGGGUUUAUCCCUCUUCUUUUUUCUUAAACAUUUUUUUUUUAAAAC
rnacentral:lncRNA from 1 species